UUAGCGAAAGUGCCGGUAAUACCUGAUGAUAUCCGGGAGUCGCAUGGCUUCCGGGUCAAAGGGUGGGGACCUUCGGGCCUAUCGGUGCGGGAGCGGCCCAUGCCCUAUCAGCUUGUUGGUGAGGUAACGGCUCACCAAGGCUCUGACGGGUAGCCGGCGUGAGAGCGCGACCGGCCACAUCGGGACUGAGACACUGCCCGGACACCUACGGGUGGCUGCAGCAACGAAUAUUCCGCAAUGGACGAAAGUCUGACGGAGCGACGCCGCGUGGAGGAUGAAGUCCCUCGGGAUGUAAACUUCAAUAGUUUGUCAGGAAGCAAAGGGGCCUAACACGUCCCUCGUUGACCAUCAAACGAAAGGGGUGGCUAACUCCGUGCCAGCAGCCGCGGUAAUACGGAGACCCCUAGCGUUGUUCGGAAUCACUGGGCUUAGAGCGGGUGUAGGCGGGACGGUAAGUACUGAGUGAAAUCCCCGGUCUCAACCCGGGAACCGCUUGGUAUACUGCCGUUCUUGAGGCAGGUAGGGGUCACUGGAACCUUAGGUGGAGCGGUGAAAUGCGUAGAUAUCUAAGGGAACGCCUGUGGCGAAAGCGGGUGACUGGGCCUGUUCUGACGCUGAGACCCGAAAGCGUAGGGAGCAAACGGGAUUAGAUACCCCGGUAGUCUACGCCGUAAACGAUGCGCACUAGGCUCGAGGGUUCUGACGACCUUCGUGCCGCAAGAAAACCGAGAAGUGCGCCGCCUGGGGAGUACGGCCGCAAGGCUAAAACUCAAAUGAAUUGACGG
rnacentral:rRNA from 1 species